AGAAACUCGCGGACUUCAUUUCAAGUAACCAAGCUCAGCCUCGAUGCCUGAGAGAGUCAGGAGUACUGGGAAUGAACGAUGAUGAAGCGGUUGGAGCGCGUUCGCACAUCUCUCCUCUCUUCCCUCUCAUCUACAACACAAACGGCUAAUGGAAGUGGGGCCCCUUGUUCAUCGUCGUCUUCCCUGAUCAUGGCGGGCCCCAUUCCUUCCCUCAAUCGCCCAACACCAGCAAUAACUCAGAAGUGUCUUCUGGAAAACGGCAGCAAUGGCUAUAGAAACAUGCAUUACUUCUCUCGCGAUCCCUUCUUCCAUCAUUCACUCGUCGUCCGUUUCUCAUCCACAACGACAACAACAACAACAUCUGAUGAAGAAGAGAUCAGCGACGAGGGAUGGGAAGACGAAGAGGAUGAAGAGACAGAGCCCCAGAUCGGCGAUGGAGGGGAUGGUGGUGGGGUUGUGCUGCGGGGUGUCCCGUGGGGCCAACGCACUCUAUCUGAAGCUCAGGAGGUCCUCCACCUCCACUUCAGCAAUGACAUGAGUCUAUUUUCUUUCAAGACUUCUCCUCGUGGAUACAUUUAUGUCCGCCUCGAUAAGCUUUCCAACAUGUAUGGGUGCCCAAGCAUGGAGGAGAUCGAAAAUUUCAGCUCCCUUUACAAGAAACGACUUGAUGAGAUUGGAGAAUGUGGGGAGAUACCCCUAGAUUUGGCUCUUGAGGUGUCAUCUCCAGGAGCAGAGCGAAUACUGAAGGUGCCGGAUGACUUGGAUCGCUUCAAAGACAUGCCCAUGCAUGUACAGUACAUGGAAGAAGACAACACAACAGAAUCGAACAACAACAACAACAGAAGUUACCGGCGGCAGCAACUGGAAAUGGAGGGGGUGUUCCUGCUGGAUUCAAUUGAAACUGAAUCAGGGUAUUGUGUGUGGAAGCUGGCUGAUGUGAAGGAGAACAGGGAUGCAUCUGCCAAAGGAAGGUUAUUGAGCAGGAAGCAGAAGGAUUGGAGGCUGAGGUUGCCCUUUCAAUUGCUGAGAAGGGUGACAUUGUACCUGGAAUUUUGAUCAUUGUACUUCACAUUGUUAUAGCAAUCAGUCCCUGGGACAAAAAGGAGUGAGUGAGAAAGGUCCAUCUGCCAAUCAUUUCUCCAUAUUCAUGCCUGUGUUUCCUAGUAUUGCUUGUGUUGGUGGCACAUAUCCGGAUAAGGAUGUUGAACCUCACGGUUGACAGAGACAGGAGGACUUUGUAGAGUGCUGAAAAGAUCCCUCUUUGAGGCAGGUUACUGCUAUUCAAUUCAACAGAGCAUGGGUUACCCGCCUAAUCUCUGCCAUCUGGUGUGACAGUCUUGUCCAUGACGGUCAAAGGGGGCUUGUAUUUUUCAGGCAGGUGGAGUUAGGCAACUCGGGUGGAGUGGACUUAGUGGGCAUCAAAGAGGGCUUGUAUUACCGCCAGUCUCCUGAUAACAUUUGCACUUGACCGCCAAUUCCCAUAUUUGAUUUGUUGGUGAUUAUGUGGCAAUUUGUACAUUACUUGUUUGAUUUUUCAUUUACCAAUGUAAUUCAUGGUAAAUGACUAAUGAUUAUUUACCCAUGUAAUUACAGCAACAGUUCCAAGGUUGACGUUACAUUCACAUAAUUUUCACGUGUAAAAGUUAUGGGGCCACCAAAAGGAAUUGACACAAGAUGUCACCCUCCUUUCCAUCAGUUCACUAACUCUGAAUCGCGUUUAAUCUAAUCGAAUUUCAUCGAA